AGCAGCCGCGGUAAUUCCAGCUCCAAUAGCGUAUAUUAAAGUUGUUGCAGUUAAAAAGCUCGUAGUUGAAUUUCGGGAUUGACGUGACGGUCAUGCCUUAAGGGGUAUGAACUGUUACAGUUGAUUUCUCACCUUCUGGAGAAACUUGAUGUCCUUUAUUGGUGUCUUGCGGAUCCAGGACCUUUACCUUGAAAAAUUAGAGUAGUUUAAAGCAGGUCAUUUUUGCUCGAAUACAUUAGCAUGGAAUAAUAGAAUAGGACGGCAUGGUUCUAUUUUGUUGGUUUUCUAGGAUCACCGUAAUGAUUAAUAGGGAUAGUUGGGGGCAGUUAGUAUUCAAUUGUCAGAGGUGAAAUUCUUAGGAUUUAUUGAAGACUAAACUACUGCGAAAGCAAUUUGCCUAAGGAUGUUUUCAUUUAAUCUAAGAACGAAAGUUAGGGGAUCGGAAGACGAUCAGAUACCGUCGUAGUCUUAACCAUAAACUAUGCCGACUAGGAAUCAGACGAUGUUAAUUUUUAUGUAC
rnacentral:rRNA from 1 species